CCUUUGAAAUGGACCAAGUGAUCAGAAUGCCCCAGGCCGGCAGGCAUCAGUGGCAGGAAAAUAAAUCAUUCUGAUGGCCAAGGAGAGAAAGGUUGGUGGGGGAGAAAAUACUAUGCAGAAAACAAGAAAGGCUGACCAAGGAGCAAGGGCAGAACUCCAUCUCUGAGGCUAGCUAGCAGUUAGGGGGUUUGGCUCUAAAGUGGUCUCCAGCCUUGACCAGCUCUGAGCAUUACCUUGCAGAUAGAGAUGCUAUUUUGGAAAAUGUAAGGGUUUUUCCAGUUUUCUUGCUUUUAUUCCAAACAAAGCUCUGAAGGAAGUCUGGGUGUGAUCAAUCUUGCUCACCAAAAGCCCUGACAGCUUCUGGCCCUUAAGAACACAUCUCAGCUUCAAGCUUUUUCCAAGCUCAAAUGUGGCCCAGCAAAGAGGAGGGCAGGAAACGCAAGUAAACAGGGAAAUUUUGUCUUUUUAAAGAUCGGGGUUUGGCCGUAGAGAGGGCUCUAAGGCUGCUUUCAGGGAAGGUGCUUUGCAGAUGGAAGGGUGGUGGCUUUGGGCAUUUGCUUUUACCAGAAAGCAUUGAGAGACAGAGGAAAGUUAGAAAGCAGGGCUGCCCACAGCAUUGGGCUUUGUCAGGCUGCGUGGGUGAAAAAGCUUUUUGCCUUCCUCAGCUGCCUUAAUUCAAAAGCCAUCUGGAAGAAAACCCUUUUCUGAGACUGCUCCAGCAUUCAGAUCUUUCCCCAAUCUAUUACUUUAAUUCUGGAGAUAUUUUAAUAACUAUUUCUUUUUUAAUAUCCAGGAAGCUGAGCGUGAGGUGAAUUUAUUUUUUCUUUGAAAGCCAAAAUGAAUGCCUUGACUGGCAAGAGAAGGAGAGGCUCUGUGGUACAAUCUCUGCCCUGAGGCAAGGAGGAAGCCAAAGGGAAGGUUUGUAGGCAUAGGUUCAAAUGCUGAUUAUCUCUGGAAGGUUUUCAGGGGGAGACCCCACACACACCUCUUCCCCUUGAUGCUGUCCCUUAUUUUCUCAGGUAAUUUUGUGCAUGUUUUUUAAAAUGCUUACAUAAAAAGACUAGUGUUAUCUGCACGGUUUCAAUAACCCCAAAGGCUCCAGUUCCUCAAAGACUGGUUUUCCAGCCUUUGCAUUUCUGAUGUGUGCAUCCUAAGGAGAUGGGGUGGGGAGAGCAAAUCCAACUUCCCUACAGGCCAAAAGAGAGCACGGAUCAAGAGCAGGACGAAUCAAGAGCAGGAGGGUAGACGACGACGUGGGGAAAGCUCCUUUGGCGUGAGACUCCCAGCGUUCUGCGGCAGCCUGCUUUUGUAUCCUCAAGAUUUUCCUAAACCGUGAAAAGGGCUCCUAAACGCUGCUCUCUGGGACUCAGCAGGUACCCAGAAAUGACGCCAGCUCUUGCUUUUAAGGAUUUUCUUAGGGUGCCUGGGGUGUGGGUGGGUAGAGGCCAUGAUGAUGGAUAUUCGAGAUUGCAAACAAAAUGGCGACAUUUUCCACUUCUGCCUCUGAAAGAUACAAUCCAGAGAGAAUGUGGGUUCAGAUGCCCCCAAUCUCCACACGCAGGUCGUUCACUUCCACCUCUGAGGGGUUAGUGAUGGGAUGCAGCUGUGAAGCUUGCUUUUUCUGAAUUUGCCUUCAUGGAUCUGUAAUUCUUUACUUUGGAGAUGGAAAUAUUUCCCUUUUCCCGUAUCUGCCUUUUACUCUGCCAGCCAGUCAGCGGGCAUCCUAUCUUAAAUCCAAACGUGGAAAUGUAAUAUUAAGCUUGUGUAGCAGCAAAUGAAAGAAGUACUUGUACAAUUGCAUUUUUAUUAGAAAGAUACCAAUCUCCUUUCUCUCUCCUCCUCCCCCUGGGGCCAUAAAAAGAGAGGAAAUAAAUCCACAGAAUGGCAGAUGCUGAAUUCCGGGAGGAAUUUGAUGCUGAGAUUCAUGGAAGGGAUUCCUUCCAAUACAAGGAAGACCUGGAGGACUAUGAAGCUCAGUCCUUUUUCUGGAGACCUAAGGGAGAGUAGGUCCCUUUUGAGGUGAAUUUAGAAGAGUCCCGUCCCCCCCAUCUUCUUUAGGCGUGAUAAUGAACCGCGAAGCAUCCUCAGUGGAGACCUGGAAUUCGAUAGCUUGUGGGAAGAGCUUAAGACCUUGUGCGGUUCCAAGGUUGAGGCCUUGGCCGAUGGGCUUUCGGUGCGGGGGAAUGGAGAGGAGCCCCGGGUUCUUGGUGUCGGCGUCCCGCACCUGUGCGCCCCCCGCUGAGCCCGAGGCCGGCCGCCUUUGUUUCUGCCAGGCCGCUCUGCACUUAGCAGCCUGGCGCCCUGCUUGGGCGGCAGCUGGGAACCAGGCAGCUCAGCGGGCCGGGAGCCUGGCAUUUCCCGAGCUGCGGCAGCCACUUGAAACCGCGGCCUCUAUCCCCAGAACUCGCCGAGCUUCCAAGGCAGACGCUGGACCAGGCCUCACGCCAGAGUCGCGGUGCUGCCGCAGCCGCUGACAGUUCGCUUCUGCCAGAACUCCACGCAGAGACCCGUGUCCAGCCAAAGAACCCCCUUUGACACGGAUCGUAAUCAGAAUAAAAACUUUAUUUUUUUUGUUUUGUUUCUCAGAAUGUGAGCAGCAAGGAAUGUAAAACUCUCAAAACAAAUCUAGCAUUUUUAGCGUUCAGUUUGGCCAGAUGUUACAAACCUAAACCACUAUUUUCAAACUCUGGGUCCUCUCUGUUCUUAUUGCAUUGCUACGGUUUUUAAUAAAGGAAUUUUAUUUCCCUUUCAAAUAAAUUUUAUAUGUAUGCCAAUACACCAUUGAACAAAAGGCUCAAGAAACCUUCUGAACAAUCAGGGUACAGAAUUUCUUUAAUAUAAAUACGAACGGAUGGGGAUAAAUAAUAUUUAAAACUUAGACUAUUCAAUGCUUGCAAAAAAUAUAAAUAAAUCUGACUGUUCACAAGCACACACACACGGAAAGACGUACACGUAGUCAUCUUUGCACAGGGAGUCCCUGUUUCAAAGCGCCUUUGAUUUCUUUUUCUCGAUCAGUACAAGAAGUGCAAUUUUAAAAACUAAAACUU
ensembl:processed_transcript Hoxaas2 Hoxa cluster antisense RNA 2